rfam:Biomphalaria glabrata isolate BB02 unplaced genomic scaffold LGTN_random_Scaffold317, whole genome shotgun sequence.
UGGCUGAGUGGUAAAGCGCUUGGCUUCAGAACCAGGGGUCCCGGGUUCGAAUCCUGG